GUGGAGCCCCUGCCUAGAAUCCCCCAGUGAGGGGCUGGGGGCGUGGCUCAGUGGUGGAGUGCUUCCCCAGCAUAUAGAACACUCCAGGUUCCAUCCUUAGUACUACAAAAAUAGAUACAAUUAACUAUUUUAUUACUAUUUGUUUGUUUGAGACAGGGUCUCUCUGUGUAGCCUUGUCUGUCCUGGAACUCCAUCUCUUAUAGAGAUCCACCUCCUUUUGCCUCCCAAGUGCUGGGAUUAAAGGCAUGUGCCACCACUGCCCAGAUGUUUUAUAUUUUUUAAGCCUCUAAACAGCAGUUCUGAACCUGUGAGUCAUGGUCCCUCUGGGCAGUCACAUAUCAAAUAUUCUGCAAAGAUAUUAUUAUGAUUCAUAACUGUAACAAAGUUAUAGCAAUGGAAUAAUUUUAUGGUUGGGGGUCACCACGACAUGAGGAACUGUAUUAAAGAGUGACAGCACUAGGAAGGUUGAGAACCACUGCUCUAAAGUAUGAGUGUUACACAGCAGUGAAAAUUAAUCCUCUCUUCAACAAGUGAACUGAGUCCUUGAUUGUGAGGAGUGACCCAUCUCUGCAGGAAAAGCGAGAGAGCCACCUGCAUGGCUGCCAGGGUCACUUUUAGGCAACUGAGACACGGGACGACAUCCCCUCCAAGGAAUCUCCCUCUCGGAACCCUUAGGACAAGCUUCCCUUUUUUUGUUGGGGAAACUGGUUGCUAUGCCAACUCACUUAUGAUCUCGAGCCAGCCAGUUGCUGUUUGGGUCCCGUUGCUGGUGUCCACUUGGACAGUGUAGUUGCCUGUGUCAUUUAACGCCGACAUCCUCACCACCAGGCUACCUGGUCAGGAUGGUCCGGAAAUUCUCCACUCCCAUGAGUGAGUCUGGGCUGAUGAAGAUCUGACCAGAGGCCUGGCAGAUGCCACAGGCCCAGAUUCUGAACGCUUGGUCCCCUGCUGGUGGCACUAUUUUGGGAGGCUGUGGUCUUUUGGGGACAAGGUCUUAGUGGUGGGAGUAGGUCACUAAAGGGCAACACUGCUUCCUGGACCCCAACCGAGUGUCAACAAAACAACAUGCAGUAUCAGCCGCCAUCUGCGGCAGGACCACUGUGUCUAACUUCUAAAGGCGGUUACUCUCCAGGCCCUCAGGGCUUGUAUUUCGGGCAGCCCUCACUAAACAGAACAACGGCGCCAAGACUAACGUGAUGCUCUUCCCACCUCACACCACCAUUAGUGGUAUUAGAAUUUCUGCCUUUGAGUUUCCAUGAACGAAUAUGGAAAAUCUCCUAAAACAGGUGAGAAAAUUAUCUUCUGCCCAUCUUUAGAAAUCCUCUCUCUCCCAACCACCCUCCCAUCCAUCCAUCCAUCCAUCCACAAAUAGUGCCCUCAGGCUUAUCAUCAAUGUGGUAAGAGUUAAGGUUCAGUGAGACUCUGACUCAGGAAGUAAGGACGAGGGGCUGGCUCAGCAGGUAAAGGUAUUGGCUGCCAAGCCUGAGUUUGAUUCCCAGGACCCAAAUGGCGGAAGGAGAGCCAGCUUCUGUAAGUUGCCUUCUGAAUUCCACACAUGAACCUUUGGCACUCUUACAGACACACCCACGCCCACACACUUUAAAUAUGGUAACACAUGCAGUGUCGGAAGUACCAGGAUUGCAGAAAGGAACACAGGAGUCAUCACAGCACAAUUAUGACGUUCAGUGUGACUGGAUCAUUUGAAGCAAUUCCCGAAGGAACAGACAGCUCAAGAACACCGCAUCCUGGAGCGGACGUCUCUGGGCAGAGUCCAGGCGCCACCACUCCUCCUGGAUGAAGUUCACAGUCACAUCAUCAAAUGACACUCAUCUCUGAAACAUGAAUGCUGGGGUUGAAGAUUGCAGGGCUGGGCUGGUACACUCAUCAGGACGCCUCACUGGGCUUAUUAUAAACACCCAUUUCGCGUUCCAGUCUACGGAUAAAAGCUGACUUUAAAAAUGUCUCGCUACUAUAUAUUUAAGUUGUUUUCUUUAUCAAGGAUACCAGACAUGAUUCUGUCCUACCUGAAAGAGUUGGUGGUAAGAUCUACACUACAGAAGGACAGCCUGGAAGGCAGUUACAAACAGCAGCACCUUUUCUUUUCGUUAAAAGAGGGGGGAGGGUAGCUAUUACCUGUACUGAUGAAACCAUUCUGGGGUCUUCAUAAAGGAGGGCUGAAUUGAUAAGACCUGAACCCAGUGAUCAAUUUUUAAUCACAGCAGAGAGAUGACCCAACAUGGUGCACACCUGACAGAAUACAACAUGCCACCCACACUGUCAAGUGCUCUUGCUAAUUAAUUCAAAUCUCACCAAGCCUCUGGACCAACGCUCUCCAGUGAAAACAUAAUGAACACCUAUAAGUCAACGGCUCUCAGCCUACCCAAUGCUGCGCCCCUUUCAUACAGUUCCUCAUGUUGUGGUGACCCCCCCCAAUCAUCAAAUUAUUCCAUUGCUGCUUCAUAACUGUAAUUUUAUUACUGUUAGGAAACAUCACGUGAUUAUUCGAUGUGCAGGAUAUCUGGUAUGUGAUCCCCCCCCUCCCUGAGGGUUGUGACCCACAGGUUGAGAACCAAUGCUCUAAGUCCUCUCACAAUCUCUGGUAGUCAUAUUCAAAAGAAACAGAUGGAAUCAAUUUAAUACUAUAGCUUACUAAACAUUUCCAAAGUAUUACUUCGAGAUACUAAGCUUUCAGGGCUGGAGAGAUGGCUCAGCAGUUAAGAGAACUUACUCUCCCAGUGGACGUGGGUUUGAGUCCCAGCACUCACAUAGUGGCUCACAACCAUCUGUACUCUAGCUCCAGGGGAACAGAUAACCUCUUCUAUGCCCCACAGGUACCAGGCACACAUGCAGUGCACAGACAUACCUGCAGGCGAAACUAUA